GAUGAACGCUGGCGGCGUGCCUAAUACAUGCAAGUCGAGCGAACAGACGAGGAGCUUGCUCCUCUGACGUUAGCGGCGGACGGGUGAGUAACACGUGGAUAACCUACCUAUAAGACUGGGAUAACUUCGGGAAACCGGAGCUAAUACCGGAUAAUAUAUUGAACCGCAUGGUUCAAUAGUGAAAGACGGUUUUGCUGUCACUUAUAGAUGGAUCCGCGCCGCAUUAGCUAGUUGGUAAGGUAACGGCUUACCAAGGCGACGAUGCGUAGCCGACCUGAGAGGGUGAUCGGCCACACUGGAACUGAGACACGGUCCAGACUCCUACGGGAGGCAGCAGUAGGGAAUCUUCCGCAAUGGGCGAAAGCCUGAGGAGCAACGCCGCGUGAGUGAUGAAGGUCUUCGGAUCGUAAAACUCUGUUAUUAGGGAAGAACAAAUGUGUAAGUAACUAUGCACGUCUUGACGGUACCUAAUCAGAAAGCCACGGCUAACUACGUG
rnacentral:rRNA from 1 species